UACGAAGGGUGCAAGCGUUACUCGGAAUUACUGGGCGUAAAGCGUGCGUAGGUGGUUUGUUAAGUCUGUUGUGAAAGCCCCGGGCUCAACCUGGGAAUGGCAAUGGAUACUGGCAGGCUAGAGUGCGGUAGAGGGUAGUGGAAUUCCCGGUGUAGCGGUGAAAUGCGUAGAGAUCGGGAGGAACACCAGUGGCGAAGGCGGCUACCUGGACCAGCACGUGAGCACUGAGGCACGAAAGCGUGGGGAGGCAAACAGG
rnacentral:rRNA from 1 species